UCUGAGAUCAUCACAUCCAAUGUGGCAGCACUGCCAGGUCCAUGAUUAACCCAAGUCCCUAAAACACCACGUCUACAAGCUUUUGGAACACUUCCAUGGAUGGAGACUCCACCAGCACUCUCAGCAGCCUGUUCCAAUGUCUCAUCACUCUUUUAAUGAAGAAACAUUCUCAAUAUCCAACCUAAACUUCCUCUGCUGCAGCUGAAGGCUGUUUCCUCUGGUCCUGUCCCAUGUUCCCUGGGAACCCUGAGGUUCCAUGAGGUCACUAAGGGAUAAACAGCCAGCCAGAGAACCCUGCAGGGCUAAACCCCUUCCCCCAGAGCUGUUACCAGCAGCAACACCUCCUGAAGGCAGCUUUCACUUUAUCUAUCCAUUAUUGAUGGGGGAAUUCAUCCGUGUGUAUUAUCGCAGGAUCUGCUCAUCAAGGUGCUUUCCUCCCCAUCCAGAAGCAGUCUGCAGAACAGAAACGCUCAUCAACCCAUCCUGACUCCCAAUAAUGCAGCAAACUUCCCAGAAAAGGCUGUGGGAGCAUUACCAGCUUGUUUCCGUCCCCUGAGGCGAUGACAGCCAGGGACCUCACUCCAUCACACAGCAAAGGUCACUCCAGCCGGUGUUUCAGCACAUGCCUGUGAUAAAUGAGUGUUCCCAGCUCAGAAAGGCUCUAUUGGAUUUGGCACUCACUCAGAGCCAUCAGCAGCUGCCGUCCCUCCAGCAAGCCUCCAGGCACUUGGGAUGCAAGCCUGGAUUCAAAGCUGACCAGGUCUCCUCUGUUUCCAUGUGGAUUCUCGACUAAUUCAAGCCAGAAGGUUUAAAUUAUAAGAUCAAGAACUUCUCUGAAAUUCAUCUCUGUUCACAUCCUGCCCCGGGGCUGGGCUCUUUGUGCUCAUCCUCUGCCCAAGGGCACGGCUUCCCCAGCCAUGUUUAAGCCCUGGCAGGCAGGGCAGCCUCCAUAUUCCAAGUUUGGAUUCAGGAAUUCAAGGAGCAGAUAAAAGGAUUCAGCGUUUAUUUCCUC